AAACGCUUGAAGUCAGUCGCGUCUGCCGGAACUCAGCCUUGCUUUUUGCUUGGUGCACUUUCCGGUUGACGGGCCAGCAUCGAUUUUGACCGUCGGAAAAGGGCUGGAGAAAUGUGGCACCUUCGGGUGUGUUAUAGUCUUCAGUCGUAUACGGCGGUUGGGAUCGAGGAACGCAGCGCGCCGCAAGGCAGGGGUUCGCCCACUAUCGCGCUUAGGAUGCUGGCGUAAUGGCUUUAAUCGA
rnacentral:rRNA from 1 species